UACGGAGGGGGCGAGCGUUAUUCGGAAUUAUUGGGCGUAAAGGGCGCGUAGGCGGCUCUACAAGUCAAAGGUGAAAUCCCUCGGCUCAACUGAGGAACUGCCAUUGAAACUGUAAGACUUGAGGAUGAGAGAGGUGAGUGGAAUUCCCAGUGUAGAGGUGAAAUUCGUAGAUAUUGGGAAGAACACCGGUGGCGAAGGCGGCUCACUGGCUCAUAUCUGACGCUCAGGCGCGACAGCGUGGGGAUCAAACAGG
rnacentral:rRNA from 1 species